rnacentral:rRNA from 1 species
AUUGAACGCUAGCGGGAUGCCUUACACAUGCAAGUCGAACGGAGUGGCGAAAGGGUGGGUAAUGUAAAGGAACGUGCCCAGUAGCGGGGGAUAACUACGCGAAAGCGUAGCUAAUACCGCAUACUCUUGGAGCGGCGGAUACCGGAGUAGCUAGUGGGGGUGGUAACGGCUCACCAAGGCGACGAUCCGUAGCUGGUUUGAGAGGACGAACAGCCAAACUGGGACUGAGACACGGCCCAGACUCCGACGGGAGGCAGCAGUGGGGAAUGUUGGACAAGGGGCGAAACCCUGAUCCAGCCAUCCCGCGUGUGCGAUGAAGGCCUUCGGGUUGUAAAGCACUUUUGGCAGGAAAGCGGUACCUGCAGAAUAAGCACCGGCUAACUACGUGCCAGCAGCCGCGGUAAUAC